rnacentral:rRNA from 1 species
ACGGGAGGCAGCAGUGGGGAAUAUUGCACAAUGGGGGAAACCCUGAUGCAGCGACGCCGCGUGAGUGAAGAAGUAUUUCGGUAUGUAAAGCUCUAUCAGCAGGGAAGAAAAUGACGGUACCUGACUAAGAAGCCCCGGCUAACUACGUGGCAGCAGCCGCGGUAAUACGUAGGGGGCAAGCGUUAUCCGGAUUUACUGGGUGUAAAGGGAGCGUAGACGGCGAUGCAAGUCUGAUGUGAAAGCCCGGGGCUCAACCCCGGCACUGCAUUGGAAACUGUGUUGCUAGAGUGCAGGAGAGGUAAGUGGAAUUCCUAGUGUAGCGGUGAAAUGCGUAGAUAUUAGGAGGAACACCAGUGGCGAAGGCGGCUUACUGGACAGUAACAGACACUGAGGCUCGAAAGCGUGGGGAGCAAACAGGAUUAGAUACCCUGGUA